AAUUUUAAAUGGGAGCCUCAGUUAACUCUAGAGCUUUAGGCUAAGAGAAGUACUUCACUUGCCUAUUUGUAAAUUAAAAUUUCUUAAAUUUACAUAAUUUUCUGACUCAAAUUAUGAAGAUUAAAUAAUAAUACAAAUUAAUUUGAUAUUUCGAAACACUCUUCUAAUGUCGUCGUCGUCUUCUUCCUCUGCAUACCCCUUUUGCCUUCCCUCCAUGCAUCUCCCCAUCCCCUACUAAUCGUGAGAAUUGACAUGCUCCAGUAGAGUUUUCACUAGGAUGCCAAUAAAAUGAACAAUAUAGCUCAUUUGAUCAAAAUCUUGGUAUCUACAGAACCCCCAAAAUCAAACUGAAAAGUAUUGCCUUACCGAAACACACGGACACUCCGAUAUAAUCAUAAUAAACCCAAAAUAAGUCCUGCGAAAAACAGAGAGAGAACUCAACUAUUUUUUUUAAUGAUUUUAAAGUUCAGUAAAUAUGAUGAUGCAAUGAUGCAUGUCAAACAUACAUGGGCCCAAAUCUCUAUUAUAGUGUACUGUAUGAGCUCAGAUUAACAUGGCAUUUUUCCUGCGCGCAAUCCAAUAUCAACGCAUCCAUCAUUGUCCACCGAGACUCAGGAUACCACAUCAUUAUAUCAUAUAUGCUAAUUCAAGGCCUAGCCUACAUAUAUAUAGUGCUCAAAGUACCUAUCCGCAGUCCCCAAGACCACCAAGGAACCUCCUGGCACUACUUGUAUAUAAGUGUCGAACUCCUAAUACCCUAUCCUUAAUGACCGUUGGGAGCCUCAAAGCGGUACAGUUAUUCGGUCACAAUAGUACGGUACAUCUAUAAUGGGAUUCACAUUCAAAAUUUUCAGCUGCAACUCAAUCAGCAUGACAACACAAGUAUACAUAAUCUUGAAAACGUAAUUAUUCAUACGUUUUUCAAAUAAACUCAAUACAUGUGUAACAUACUACCAUGUCACAUUGCAAAAGAAAUAACCACAUAUAAACAUAUAUUUACACAUAUUAAUAUAUUUUGCACUGUAGUUGGAAAAACAACAAUAUUUACCUAUUUUGCAAUUUCCUUGAUCAAUAUCUGUAUUAACACAAUAAUCUCUACAUUAAUCAUAUCAUAUCUUAUUAUUUCCAGAUUAUCAUAUCUAGACUAAACUUAUAAGAUAAUAUAGGUUAUUUAAUAGCAUACCCCUAAUAAAAAUAAUGAUACUAGUUUAUUGUCAUCUAGUAGUAAUAAUAAUGACAUUAAUAAUUUAAAUGAAAUUCUCGUUAUCAUCAUUAACUAAAUUUCAUAAAAUUAUUACUUGUACAAUUUAAGUUAGUCAACACACUACCAUAUUACUUUCUCAUUUCAUGCUUGAUCCACUUUUCAUUUCAAUUAACACAAGUAUAUAUAUACAUCCAUACCCAUUAGUAAAUUUUCUUAUCCAAUCCAUAUUUUUCUUUACCACAUUUUCAUCAUAUCUUACCAUUGAUACCAUGCAUUAUAACAAUUUAUUCUUCACAUCUUAUCACAUAACUAGAUCAAAGUAAUUUAAGUUUAAGCCUCAAGUGAUAAUUGUUAUCUUUCUUCCUAUUGAAUUUACCACUUAUAUAAAUACAGUAGUGACCUAAUUUCCAUACACAUUAUCAUGAUGAAAUUAACAAUUAUUAUACCAAGUUAUUUUCUAUCCCUACUCACUUCUUCCUUACUUUCUAUAUUUUCCCCCAAAACUACUUUAUACAAUCCUUAAUAAUGUGAGCUAAGUAACCUAAAACUCAAUAUAUCUUCUAGUUCAUAAGUUUUAAAAUUUCCAAAGUUAAGAUUUUGAAAUGGAAAAAUUAUAAUUUAUCUUCCUUGCUUUUAUUAAUUAAACUUAACUAUAAUAUUAUCUUUUAUCAAUUACUAAAGAACCCUAAGCAAUAAAUUUUAAUUCCUAUUUAUAAACCAAUUAAAUAAUUAUCUAAAUAAAUAAUUAACUAAAAAAAUUUAAAAUAUUUAACUUGAUGAAAAGACAUACGUUAAGGAGUAAAAAUGAUGGAAAGAAUGGUACAUCAAAUUUCAAAAGUGUCCUCUAUUUAUAGUUGAUGGUAGGGAUUAAGUGUGCAAUUUAUGAAAUUGCACAUAUAACCCCUAUGAUAAUGUGUAAUCAUUUUAUUGGAUUUUAAAAUUACAUAUUUAGACAUUGGACCACAUAUGCAAUUAUUUCUUUGUUUAUAAAAUUGCACCUUUAACCCUUGGGCAAAUAUGCAAUUAUAAAAUUGUAUUUUCAAUCCUCAUAAUAUUAUUUUUAAUUACAAUCCCUAAUAACAUUUAUUCUAUCAUUAAAUUAAGUCCCUAAAAUUAAAAAUAAACUCCCUAAAAUAUUAGAAAAAUUUACUAGAAAAUUUUGGGAUGUUACAAUUGUAUUCUCAAAACUCAACUUUUAUUAUUCAAUUUUUUGUGAUGAUGAAUACUACAAAUGAGCAACAUUUUUUUACUACAUUUGGUACAUAAUAAUAAUUGUCAAUACAUGAAUUUAAACUGUCAUAAAAAUUUAUAACUACACAAAUAAAAAAAAAAUUAUAUAUAAUAAUUCUAGAUUUAUGUAGAUCAAGAUUCAUUGAAAGUAGAUUAAUGUAUAUAUUAAUUAAUUGACCUUUAGCUCUCGACAUUUCACCAGGACCUCUCCUCGAUUGCUCAAGAGUCUUAUUUCGAGAUAUAUUUUUGCCCUUUUCUAUAGCAGAGCUCUAACCUAAGGAGCCUUCCAUUUUUUGAUCGCAGCCUAAUGGAGAGCAAUUGGAUCCAAAAUCAUAUCUACCAAAAGAAAAACAAGUUAUUAGCCGAACAUAAACAAUCAAAGACAUAAAGAUAGGGAUAGAGUCCUGCCCUCGAUGCCUUUCCAUGAGAUCCAAAAUGUCAUACCUAAAGAGGUUGUCGAGGUUAUACACAAGGGGCUCAAAGUCCUUGAGCUUUUGCCUAUCGUUUUCUAAUACCUUAAAGUAGGUCUGACUAUCUUUGAACCUAAUAGUAUUAGAUAUUUCGUAAUAUAUCUCAAAGGGAUGCAUGGGAUCUAUGAUGUAAAAAUAUUUUUCCUCCAGCCUUUGAGCAAGCUUGGCAUCUUCAGGAUCUUAAACCUACCUUGAGUAGAAAGAUAGACGAAACAAGUAAAGCUCGAGAAAUGCUUCAGCUUGAAGAUUAAUCUGAUGAGGUCGAGCCUUGUGGUUAUAGAUAAAUACCUACUAGUAAGAAAUAUACGAGCAUCCUCCAUGCAUUAGGCACCAACUACCACGAGCACAUAGAAUGCUCGAAAAAACUCGAGAAAGAAGUAGUAGAGGGGUCACCUAAAUCCCCCUUUAAGGAAUCUCUAAAAAUUACAAACUCCCCUUUUUGAGCACUCACUAUGCCCUAGGGCUCUACAGUCACUAUAGGGCAUUAUUCCAAAUUUCCUAGCCAGUAGCCACUGAAUAGAUAGUAUGUUCUUUAUACCUACAGAAAAUGUUGAAAAGGGUGAAUUGGGGCCCAUUAUGAUUCAUGUGCUGAGCAUCUAGGGGUAUGGCCACGCGAAUGAGUGAAUUUCCUAAAUCUUCGAUUCUACUGCCCAACCUUGAGGAACCAUCACUAUUAGACAUCUCUAAAAAUAAUAAUUCUUUAAUAAUUUGGAUCUCUAUCUCUUACCUUAAAACCUCGAGGCUCAAACAACCAUCUAAAAGCCUAAGCACAACCUUGCAAAAAAAAUACCGAGAGUAAAGGAGCAAAAAAGUGAAAAAUGAAAAAGGAGUUAGGUAUUUAUAUGCUCCAGAGAAAGCUAGGGAUCACAAAAUCCUGACCUUUAAUCACUGGCCGCGUGUUAAUCAUCCAACGAAACUCAUUUCUAACAUACCAUCACUCGUUGCUCGAUCAAACACCACAUACAUGUUCCAUAACCAUUUCGAGCAUAACACACCUGGGCAAAAUAAUAAUAAGCUUCAUUUCAAGCUCGACCAUGACAAUCCCCAAAUCAAUUCUCAAUUAACCUACCUAAAGUCUUCCAGCUUAUGUCUUCAGCCCAUCUUUUGCAUCCGAUCUUAGAGGCUCGUGCAUCAAGUCAUGCAACCACAAGCCUCUAACACAAGUACAGGGGGCCUAUGAUUUGCAUAGUUUUGCAAUCCUGAGGUUGAUCUAAAAAAUGAAGCCCAACCAAUGCAUAACCCCAAGGAUUAUUUUGUUUACAACCAAAACCCCUAUGUGCUCGAGCAUUAUACUCCUCGGGUGACAUUAUAUAGGGAUAGGUUCAAGUUUAAUGCACUCAAGGGUGUGAUCUGCUCCUCUUUAAGAAAUUCAUUGUUGCAUCAUAACUUUAUCUCUAAAAUCCCAUCCAUAUCCAAACAUAAUAGUCUAACAGUUAAAUUCUAGUGUCCACAUCUUGUAGGACUUUAACAUCUUUCAAAACUCUUAAACAAGAUGAGAUAACUAAGUGACCCAAUCUAAUCAGGAUUGCACUGUCUAUCUCUAUGAAUAUUACGCCAUUCAUUAUCAAGGUACGCUUCAUAUUUUUAGUUUAUAGCCUUUUGCAUAAAUUUCCUUCUAGCUAACUUAAGCAUUGGAGGGGUUACGAUGACACAUCUUGAGGCAUUGUUUUAGGUACUAGAAUUUCUAUUUGUGGUCAUUUACAAUCACUAAGUUCGGGAAUUAAUGGGUGCAUAUUUUUAGCAGCAUCAUUGGCGCCGUUUGUGAAAAAUGCUACCAAAAGUGAUGCUUAAUAUACGAUCAUGACCUCCUCCAACAAGCUCAACCACUCUAACUCAACCUCAUGUCGGGGAUCUUUCGGUCCCUCCAGAAUUGCCACCGAAAGUGAUGAGUGAUAUUUCACUCUUCAUAUCAAGGCCAUUAAGCUUAUUACUUAGUCGAUUCUCAUGUAUUUUAGAGGUGCUAGCAUGUGGUUUUCAUGCUAUUUUGAAGGAUGGAUGAAGUGGAGAAACAAGUGAUAAAAGAGGCCAAAUGAAAGAAAUAGGCAAAAGUUGGUGAAAUUGGAUGAAAGGACCAAAAUGUAAGAGAUCCAAAGUUCGAGGACUAAGGUGCACAUAAUCAAAAGUUGUGUCGAAACUUGGAAUGAAGAUUCGAGAGUUCUAGAAGCCAAUUGGAUGAAGAAAGAUGUCAAAUGGAUCAAAUUUAGUCAAGAUAUGGUCAUAAAUCAUUUUCCAACAGAAAAGUUUUACACCGAAUUUUUAGUCUCAUAUUCAGACCCAUUUUCGACACAGAAAGCGAUCGAAUUGGAAAAUGAUGCCUGAAGCAAAGUUGUAGCUCUUUCAAUUACCUUUUCAACGCAUCUUGAAUCACCUCAAUCAGAUAUCGAAAAAAAGAAUUAUGAUAAAAAUACUGAAAGCUAUGCAGUGCAACCGAAGUGGUCAUGAGUGCCCAGGCGCCGCCUUGCGGGAGUAAUUUUUUAGGUUUUUACCAUUCUUUCUCGACCCAACUCAUCCCCAAGUCUUUCCAAAACUCCUACACACUAUAAAUACAUUCCAAAGCCUGAAUAGGAAGAGGCAAAGGAAAACCGAUUGAGAGGAAAUUCACCAGAUUUGGAGAAGAAAUCAAACAACAAACUGAGUUUUUCUUAUCUUUUUCUUCUCCAUGUGACUUAAUUUGUAUUUUAUUGUGUUUCUCUUCUCAAUCAUGAACUAAACUUUUAAAUCUAGGGUUUGAUGUAACCUAUUUGAGACAUGAUUUAAUUUCUUUAUAGUAUUUCCAUUUAAUUUUUCAGAAUUGAUUUGUAUUGUUCUUGCUUGAUACUUUCAGUUGCCUGAUCACCAAUUGAAUGAAUUGAUGUUCUAAAUUUGACGCUCGAGAGAGGAAAAUUUAGGCGUGAUCUAGGAACAAUAUAACCUAGAUUUGUAGGUUACGAGAGAAAGUGCGAAUCUUUAAGGGUAAAACAAGAACCAAGUACGUGAUAAUCUUUAUAUAUUUAAUUCGGAAUAGAGAUAUUGGGGUUAAAAUAUAGAGAUAGGUUCUAUUUGACGCUCGAGAGGGGGAAAUAGAAUUAAUUUAGGAUUCUUGUCUAUGAAUUCAGGAAAUAGUUGAUGGAAAUAUCUAUAGGGAUUGAGAAUUAUGUCGAGAAUACGAUGAAAUCACUCCCUAGACAUUACGUAAUUUUGAUUUAAUCUUUAGAAAUUGCCUCACUUUUAUUGCAUUAUUUAAUUCAUUGACGUUAGUUUAGUAUUCAAACAUCAAUUUAAUAAAGUAAACGCAGACACAAUUAUAGUACUCAGUGGGAGUCGAAUAUCAAUCCCUGUGGGUUCGACACUUUUCAAUUCUUUAAUAUACUACAAAACUUGACACCGUACGCUUGCGGUAUAAAAUCACGUUACAUAAAUCGCGUGGCAGAAAGCACCAACGCCCAACCUGCAAUUGUUACUUUGGAAGCAUUUGAAGAUCUUCAUCAAGAAGUUGCUGCAUUGACUCAGUUGUUAAACCAACAAAUCUCGAACCCAAGUCAACACCCGAAGCCGGUUUUUAUGGCCUUUAAAAUCAUUUUUACACUUUUGAUCACGUGACCAUAUUUUCCUUAAAAUCAAGGAAAAUAUUUUAUUUAGGGGAAGUAUGAUUUUAUUUUCUAGGGAAUCCACUCUCUCUUUCUUUCUCUCUCUUAUCUAUUCAUUUUCUCUUAUCUGCUCAUCAAUAAAAAAUGGACAAGUAUAAUAUUUUCUAAAUCGAAAACUAAUUCAAUCAAAUACAUUUAAUUAAUAAUUUCCAUACAAAUGAAUUCUAGGCAAUUCCUUUCUAUUCAAAUUUCAUGCUUGCAAUCAAAUGCAUCCUAAGUGAUUUGACUAGAAUUACAAGGGAAACUGUAAGGUUGUUGGUGACAUCAUGAAGAAGAAUCAGUAGAAUAUGAUGUUAAGAAAAUGAAGAACUAUAAAUGAAGAAUUAAAUCUUUGUUCAGCCAUGGAGAACAUACAAAUAUAUUAAAGAUUCUAUUGUGGACAUUCAUACCUAACAUAUCUUAUUUCCAUUCUUGCAGUUUUCAUAUUUUCAUGAAUUAUUGGGUUAAGGGCAGUUUCUACAACACGUUGUUGGAAUUAAUUGAAUGUAAUUGGGUUAAAACAUUAAAUGUAAUAUUUAAUGAUGUGGGCCAUUGCAAAAUUAAUUUGGGUGAAUUGGAAAAGUCUCCAAUAUAGGCCCAUAUGUUGAUAAGCCCAUUUUAGGUGUUUUAUAUAUGGAAAGGAAUCCCACAUCGAAAGUUUACAAGAAAAUAGUCUUGUUUAUAUAGUGGGUUGUGUGAAUAAUAUAUAAUUUAAUAAGUUAACUACCACUAGGCUAACUUUAGCUAGCCAAAGGCUAGUCACCACUAGAGUGGCCGCUCCCCAGACCCGGACUCGGUCCCGGCACGCGCACGUCGCAAAGUACUCAUUGGGCGCUUUAGAGGCGCACUUGGCACUCCCACGUACGCAUCAUCGCGAGGAGCUGAGGAGCCUUAUAGUUUUGGAAAAUGGACUCGUGGUUCGAUGACGUGGCAGCGCAAGGCUCGGUGAGUUGGCAUUCUAGGUGGCGCACGCAUGGUAGGUCGCGUCCCUUCUUCCUGCGUGGCGGUUAGAUGUACGCGUGGCAUCCACAUGGCUGUGACUAUUCAGAAAUUGGUGAAUAGGCAUGAUGAAUGGACACUUCACUUCAUGGUUCAAUCUGGGCCGUCAGAUUAUGAAAAUAGUACGAUCCAAUGGCUAAGACGAAUCAGACCAAGUGGUGCAUCAGUUCCUGAAAUGUCACACACCUGUUCCAUGAGACACUUCAAUCUCUAUAAAUAGAGACCCCAGAUUCGUUUUUUUUAACACGCCAAAUCAAUUAGGAAUUCAAUUGAUUUCUAAAUUCUUCUUUUUCCAUAUUCUGCUCUAAAAAUUCUCUUAUAUUCUCGUGGUUAUUCCGUUCGAGAACGAUCAUUCAUUGGUUCGACCGACAAGGUUGGUAUUGUGCAGUAUCGACUUUGGAAGGAGCGUUGUAUCUUGGAAGACAGACAUCCAUAAUCCCGUUUGCACUUCAUUGGGGGGCGAAAUCUGUCUUAAGGAGAUUUGCUUUGGCAUACCUCGCUUCAUCUACUAUUUUCUAUUUUUCUGCUUAUUUUACUUGUUCUUUUGAUUGCGUUAGUCGAAUUUCCGACAACAAUCUUAAGACAGAUUUAUUUUAUCAUUUCUUCUACAUUUUUAUUAUUGAUUAUUUUCUGGAAUUGUGGUUUUACAGAAAAUGGCUAGUACAUCAGAUAAUAAUACUAGCGCUGUGAUUGGUACUGUUGAGAGCAAUACUAAUGUUUUGAUUGUGCCAAAUUCUGGUUCCAAUCAAAUUGUCAUGCCACCGGCUUCACAACAUGAGAAACCGAAAAAGUUCAAUGGCACGGAUUUCAAACGCUGGCAACAGAAGAUACUAUUCUAUUUGACAACAUUGAACUUAGUAAAAUUUUUGUGUGAAGAAUGUCCUGCACAAACAUCGGAGAAUGCUACUGAUAAAAAUACUCAGUUAGCUAUUAAAGCAUGGAAACAUGCAGAUUUCUUAUGCCAUAAUUACAUUCUCAAUGGAUUGGAUAACACUUUAUAUAGUGUGUAUUGUAAUUACAAGACGGCUAAAGAACUGUAGGAGUCUCUUGACAAAAAAUACAAAAUCGAAGAUGCCGGAACGAAGAAAUUCAUUGUCGGCAAAUUUCUAGAUUUUAAGAUGACUGAUUCAAAGACAGUUAUGAGUCAGGUUUAAGAGAUACAAGUUCUACUUCACGAUAUUGAAGCUGAAGGUAUGACUUUGAGUGAAUCUUUCCAGAUUGCUGCUAUGAUCGAGAAGCUACCUCCAUUAUGGAAAGAUUUCAAAAACUAUCUCAAGCAUAAACGCAAAGAGAUGACGAUGGAGGAUCUAAUUGUUCGACUUCGUAUUGAAGAAGACAAUCGGGCUGCAGAAAAGAAGAAUAAUGUCCGCAACAUGGAAGCAAAGGCUAACAUGGUGGAAGACUCGGGGUCCAAGAACAAGAAAAGGAAGCGUUCUGGCUCAUCUAUGGACAAAGAAAAAGUCAACAAUGCAAAAUGGUUCAAAGGCAACUGUUAUAUUUGCGGGAAGCUGGAACAUCGGGCUAAAGACCGUCGAAGCAAAAAGAAGGAUACACAAAAAAAAACCGCCCCAAGCCAAUAUAACUGAAGUGGAUAAAAUUUCUACGGAUGUUGGAGACAUCAACCUAUCUGCUGUUGUUUCUGAAGUUAAUUUGGUAUCUAAUGCCAAGGAUUGAUGGUUGGACACAGGAGCCACUCGUCACAUUUGUGUGGAUAAGGGCCUAUUCGCUGAAUAUAAGACCUUGAAUCAUAAUGAGUGUCUUUACAUGGGAAAUUCUACAACAUCCAAUAUUGAAGGGAUUGGAAAGGUUAUUUUGAAAUUUACAUCGGGGAAGGAACUGACGCUUAAUGAAGUUGUACAUGUCCCAGAUAUCAGAAAGAAUUUGAUUUCAGGAGCUAUUCUUAGUAAGAAAGGAUUUAAAAUGGUGUUUGAAUCUAAUAGAUUUGUACUUACUAAGGGGGCCAUGUAUGUUGGGAAUGAUUAUUUACUUGAUGGUCUAUUGAAGGCCAAUGCUGUUGUAGUGGACAAAAAAUCCACAUAUUUGUAUCCACAAGUUAUCAAUAAAACUAAUGCUUCUGUUUACUUGCUUGAAUCUUCGAAUUUAGAGCAUAGCAGAUUAGGACAUGUAAAUCGUGCUUCCUUAAGAAAAGUUGUAGGUUUAGGUCUUAUACCUAAACUUGACUCCGAAGACAAACAUAAAUGUGAAAUUUGUGUUGAAGCAAAACUUGCUAAAAAACCUUUUAACACAAUUGAAAGGAGUAGUGAACUGUUGUGUUUAAUACACAGCGAUAUUUGUGAUCUAAAAUUUGUUCAGACUCGAGGUGGUAAAAAAUAUUUUAUCACGUUUAUAGAUGAUCACAGUAGAUAUUGCCAAGUUUAUUUAUUAAGUAGCAAAGACGAAGCAUUGAAUGCAUUUGUUACUUACAAAAAUGAAGUUGAAAAUCAACUUGGAAAAACAAUUAAGGUAUUAAGAUCCGAUAGAGGUGGUGAAUAUGAUUCGUCCAUGUUUGAUGAAUUAUGUGCUAAGUUUGGUAUUAUUUACCAAACAACAGCCCCGUAUACUCCGCAGCAAAAUAGGAUUGUUGAGAAGAAAAAUAGAACUCUAAAAGACAUGGUUAAUGCUAUGCUUAUAAGUUCUGGAUUACCACAAAACUUGUGGGGGGAAGCAGUGCUAACUACUAACUGCUAACUUUAUUCUGAAUAGAGUUCCCCAUAAGAAAACUGGUUCGAUACCUUAUGAGUUAUGGAAAGGUAGAAUGCCUUCCUAUGAAUACUUAAAAGUGUAGGGGUGCCUAGCUAAAGUGGCUAUUCCACCUCCCAAAAGGAUUAAGUUAGGUCCUAAAACUAUUGAUUGCAUUUUUAUCGGAUAUGCAAUAAAUAGUCAUGCGUACAGAUUUCUUGUGCAUAAAUCUGAUAUAAGUGACAUUCAUGUCAAUACAAUUUUUGAAUCUCGAGAUGCUGAAUUCUUUAAAGAUGUGUUCCCUAAUAAAAGAUAUAUUCUUGAGAAUACUCAAAAGAGAACACGAGAUAAUGCUAUUGAAAACAAUAUAGAACCUGAAUCAAGAAGGAGUAAAAGAGCAAAGGUUGCUAAAUCCUUUGGUCCAGACUUUAUUUCUUUCGUAAUUGAGAAAGAGCCCCAAACAUUUAAAGAAGUUGUGACUAGUCCAGAAUCCGUAUUCUGGAAGGAAGCUAUAAAUAGUGAAAUUGAAUCUAUUAUGAGUAAUAAUACUUGACAAUUGGUUGAUCUUCCUAAGGGAACUAAACCAAUAGGAUGCAAAUGGAUUUUUAAAAGAAAGUUAAGAUCUGAUGGUUCAAUAGACAAAUACAAGGCUCGAUUGGUUGCAAAAGGAUAUCGUCAGAAAGAAGGAAUUGAUUUCUUUGACACAUAUUCUCCAGUAACAAGAUUUACUUCUAUUCGGGUUUUAAUUGCUAUUGCUGUAAAGUUCCAAAUUUUCGUGAAAUAGAAUUAACUUUUUAUAUGUUAUAUUUUAAUAUUUUGAAAAGUCAAAGAAUAAGAUAAUACAUAGCAAAUUUCAAUUUUAUUUGGGUCAAAUAAUUAGAUUUUGACCGAGCAACGAUAAGUAUAUGAAUAUUGGGCUCGUUGGAUAGAUUGAAAUUAGUGACGCAUAUUAGACUUGAGAAAAAGUUGAUUUGGUUAUGCGAAGCCCAAAUUAUCGAGGUCAAAAGAUAUGGUGCUAAAUGGUUUCAAUUAAGUUAAAUUAAUGAAUCUAUAAAUUAAGGAGAGGCACAUGUAGUGGUACUAAUUGAAUCAUUAUAAAGUAAAAAAAAAAAAAAAAAAAAAUUGGGUCGCUAAAGUCCCAAAUUUUCGUGAAAUAGAAUUAAAUUUUUAUAUAUUAUAUUUUAAUAUUUUGAAAAGUUAGGGACUAAGAUGAUACAUAGCAAAUUUCAAUUUUAUUUGGGUCAAAUAAUUAGAUUUUGACCGAGCAACGAUAAGUAUAUGAAUAUUGGGCUCGUUGGAUAGAUUGAAAUUAGUGACGCAUAUUAGACUUGAGAAAAAGUUGAUUUGGUUAUGCGAAGCCCAAAUUAUCGAGGUCAAAAGAUAUGGUGCUAAAUGGUUUUAAUUAAGUUAAAUUAAUGAAUCUAUAAAUUAAGGGGGGCACGUGUAGUGGUACUAAUUGAAAACUUCCACAUACCUACUACAUUUUCCCCACUACCCAACUAAAAUGAAAGAUUUUCCACAUUCCUUUAUUUAUCUCACGUUCAUACGGUUUCUUCACUUCAACAAUUAAUAACUUCCCCAUCCUAUAUUUAUUAAUCAUUUUCUUCUAUAUUUUUAUUUCACUCAAACAAGAAAGACUUUGCAGUAACAUUUAUAGAGCAUUCUUCAUAUCUCAACAUUUUUCUUUGGGCUGAAACGCAUUUGAAGUUUAAGGUAGGAUACGACGUGUUUAAUUUUUGUUAUUUCAUAUUGAUAAAUAUUUUCGUUAAUGAUAUGAUAUGACAUAUAUGGCCAUCCGGUACAAAUGAUAUAAUAUGAUUGGGCUCUUACCGGUUAAAGAUAUGAUAUGACGGUACGAUUUAUUUUGAUAUAUGAAUGAUAAAUGUUAUUCGGGAUUGUACGAAUAUUUGUACCCUACUGAGUAUUUCCCAUACUCACCCCAUUUUCCCUACCUUACAGGUUAGUACGGGUCGUGUUGGAGUGCAGCGGUUUGAUGGUGUGGUCGUGUCUCGUCUAAGGAACAAAGAUCUAAAAUCUAGCACGUAACCUCAUUUAUUUUAAUUUAGUUGUCAUGGAAAAUUAUUUACAAUUAAAUUUACUGUACAUGUUUAUUUUUUACAUGGACAUGUUUAAACUUACAUUUUUAAUUAAAUAUUUGAAUUAAAUUGCUUGGUUUCCCUUUACUGCUAUUUUUCAUUAGUGGUAACAAAUUUUUACAUGUAAUUAAUUAUGGAUAGAACGUAACAUAUGCAUGUCCGAAAUCUCGAAUCAGAAAGAAUGUGGGGAAAUUACUCAUUUUCACCAGCCACUAAUAAUAGUCCAAUUCAUCUUGCUAGCCAUCCGUUAUUUUCUGUAAACACUUAUGAUAAUGUCACCUUGAUUUGUAUUAAUUUUAAUGAUUAGGGUGCUACUGCUGUCUUUCAAAUUGAUUUAUGGAUAUAUUCAUGCAUGACAAAUUAAUGAAGACCCUAUAAUGACAUUAGAUUAGGAGAGUUGAGGCCAUGUUUCACUUACUGGAGGAAAAGAGAAUAAAGUAUGCUUAUUACCAUUAUUUUAACAAUAGUAAGGAAAAUUGCUUAAUAACAUUUACGCAUAUUUCUUGCUAAAAUGGAACCCCUUAUAUAUUUUUCUUUAAAGUUCAUCAUAACAUGAUUUUUAUUACACAUGUUAAGAUUUCUUUAGGUUAUUGACAAGGGAUAACAUCAUUAUAAACCCCUUUUUCUUUUUUUUUUUAAAGAAACAUUUGGUAGUGACUUAAGUUUAAAAAAAAUAAAAUUGGGUCGCUACAACUACAGCAUUGUACAACUUACAAAUAUAUCAAAUGGAUGUUAAGACUGCAUUCUUGAAUGGUGAUUUAAACGAAGAAGUAUAUAUGGUACAGCCAGAAGGUUUCAUAGUGAAAGGACAAGAGAACAAAGUUUGCAAACUAGUUAAGUCCUUAUAUGGUUUGAAGCAAGUUCCUAAACAAUGGCACGAAAAGUUUGACAGUGUCAUGAUUAGGAAUGGAUUCGUCAUAAAUGGAUGUGACAAAUGCGUAUAUUCGAAAAAAUUUGAAAAGGCAUACGUACUCGUCUGUUUGUAUGUUGAUGACAUGCUUAUAUUAGGGACUAAUAUAGAAGUCAUCAAUAGAACAAAGAAUAUACUUACCAAUAACUUUGACAUGAAAGAUAUGGGUGAAUCAGAUGUGAUUCUAGGAAUAAAGAUAUCUAGAACAUCAAAUGGAAUAGUCUUAUCUCAAACGCAUUAUGUUGAUAAAAUAGUUGGGAGGUUUAAGACUCAUAAUAUUAAAGAGACGAGUGACCCAUUUCUUCCACAUAUAGUUCUUCACAAGAAUAGUGGAAAUGGAAAACAGCAGUUAGAAUAUUCCCAAAUUAUUGGUAGUUUAAUGUACCUGAUAAAUUGUGCAAGACCUGAUAUAGCUUACUCGGUAAGUAAGUUGAGUCGUUACACAAAUAACCCAAGUAAUCAACAUUGGGAUGCAUUACUUAGAGUUUUGGGAUACUUGAAACGGAUCAGAGAGUAUUCAUUACAUUAUGGAAAAUAUCCUCCAGUAAUUGAAGGAUAUAGUGAUGCCAAUUGGAUAUCAGAUACAAACGAGUCAAAGUCUACCAGUGGCUAUGUAUUUACUCUCGGUGGUGGCGCUAUAUCAUGGAAAUCUUCUAAGCAAACGUGUAUAGCUUGAUCUACUUUGGAAUCUGAGUUUAUUGCUUUAGACAAAGCAGGAGAAGAAGCAGAAUGGUUAAUAUAUUUCAUAGAAGAUAUUCCUAUAUGGCCAAAGCCUGUACUGGCUAUUUGUAUUCAUUGUGAUAACCAGGCCACAAUAGCCAGGGCUGAAAAUUUUGUGUAUAACGGUAAGUCGAGACAUAUACGUCGUAGACAUAACACCGUUCGGCAGUUGCUUUCAAAUGGAACAAUAUCAAUUGAUUUUAUUAAGUCAAAAGACAACCUAGCGGAUCCGUUCAAUAAAGGGUUAUCUAGAGAGCGUAUAGACUGCGCAUCGAGGGAAAUGGGUUUAAAGCCUAAAACCCAAUGAGUCAUCUUAGUGGAAACCUAACCUGGCAACUGGUGAUCCCAUGGACUAGGUUUAAUAGGAAAACUAAUUAUGAAUGACUCGAUAAGAAGCACUUAGGAGUUUAACUCCUUCCAAUUUCUACAAUGCAAAAAGUGCUGACUGUGAAGUGUAUUAAGGAUAAGCUUUGCUUUUAAUGAUGACUAUAAAUGGUAGAAGUAAUUACAGUAGGGUACUCUUUAUAGUAAAUCACCUAUGUUAGUGCGAACUUGGCCGGUUCUAUGAGAAUUUACUUAGGCGAAUUCUCUAAAGCACUCGCAGAACCCAAGUAGUUCAGGGCCGAAAUAAUGAACACAAUAGAGAACCAAGUUUGAUAUGAGAGAUAAUGUGUUUGGUCUAUUGUCUGAGCUUGCAAUAAUGGCUGACAGUUCAAAACGUUGCGUUCAGUGAUUAGCCAAGUGAGCUCGAUAGAUUCUUACUAAAGAAGGUUCAAAGCGAGAGCUACCUAUCUUGAUGCAUUAUCUUUCAGAUAGUACUCUUCUUUCGUCUUCCUUGAUUUGAGUCGACUUCUUCCAUUCAUGUGGGAGAUUGUUGAAAUUAAUUGAAUGUAAUUGGGUUAAAACAUUAAAUGUAAUAUUUAAUGAUGUGGGCCAUUGCAAUUAAUUUGGGUGAAUUGGAAAAGUCUCCAAUAUAGGCUCAUAUGUUGAUAAGCCCCAUUUUAAGUGUUUUAUUUAUGGAAAGGAAUCCCACAUCGAAAGUUUACAAGAAAAUAGUCUUGUUUAUAUAGUGGGUUGUGUGAAUAAUAUAUAAUUUAAUAAGUUAACUACCACUAGGCUAACUUUAGCUAGCAAAAGGCUAGCAAACUAGCCAAAGGCUAGUCACCACUAGAGUGGUGCUUCGUACCACUCUCGUUGCUCCCUAGACCCAGACCUGGUCUCGACACGCGCACGUCGCAAAGUACGCAUUGGGCGCUUUAGAGGCGUACUUGGCACUUCGCACGUACGCAUCAUCGCGAGGAGCUGAGGAGCCUUAUAGUUUUCGAAAAUGGACUCGUUGUUCGAUGACGUGGCAGCGCAAGGCUCGGUGAGUUGGCAUUCUAGGUGGCGCAUGCGUGGUAGGUCGCAUCCCUUCGUCCUACGUGGCGAUUAGAUGUACACGUGACAUCCGCAUGACUGUGACUGUUCAGAAAUUGGUGAAUAGGCAUGAUAAAUGGACACUUCACUUCAUGGUUUAAUUUGGGUCGUCAGAUCAUGAAAAUAGUGAGAUCCAAUGGCUAAGACGAAUCAGACCAAGUGGUGCACCAGUUCCUGAAAUGUCACACACCUAUUCCAUGAGACACUUCAAUCUCUAUAAAUAGAGACCCCAGAUUCGUUUAUUUUUUUAACACACCAAAUCAAUUAUGAAUUCAAUUGAUUUCUAAAUUCUUCUCUCUCCAUAUUCUGCUCUAAAAAUUCUCUUAUAUUUUCGUGAUUAUUCCGUUCAAGAACGAUCAUUCAUUGGUUCGACCGACAAGGUUGGUAUUGUACAGUAUCGACUUUGGAAGGAGUGUUGUAUCUUGGGAGACAGACGUCCAUAAUCCCGUUUGUACUUCAUUGGGGGGCGAAAUCUAUUUUAAGGAGAUUUGCUUUGGCAUAUCUCGCUUCAUCUACUGUUUUCUAUUUUUCUGCUUAUUUUACUUGUUCUUUUUAUUGCGUUAGUUGAAUUUCCGGCAACACACGUUUGUCUAGGUUUAUUAUGUAAUCAAUCUUUCACUUUAUGAAUAUUCACAUUUGUAUGUCAUUAUAAAAGAAAAUGACAUGGAAAAGUCGAAUCUAGACAUAAUGAAAGGUUGUAAUCAUAUAAAGUGUCAAAAUCAGUGUAAAAAUAUUAAAGUUCAAUUUGAAAUGAUGAAAACUUUAUAGAAAAGUUCUGAUUUCUACAAAUGGUAAGUAAUGCGCAAGAUCGCGGAAUAGCAAUUGAUGAUUUGUUGCUCUCCCUUUUAUAAUUAAAACUAGAACCUAAAAAAAUUGAAAUAAUGAACUCACCUUUGCAGAUAAUUAGGUAGCAAAAGAUUGAAACCUUAAUUCAAACUACAAUUUCAAGCAGAAAAUAUGCAUGUCAAAUUCUGCAAAAAGAAAAAAAUAAAUAAUUAAAAAUAUGUUCAAAUUCUAAAACUUUAACUCAAAUACAUGAAGGAAAAAAUUGAAAUUUUCGACAAUUUCUAGUGACAAUAACAAAAAUUGCAAUUUGGUGUUGGCAGUUGGCAAAGAGAGUCGAGUUCUUAAGAGCGAGUCUACGAGUGCGAGGUGUCGACGGUUGAGGAAGAGAGCCCAGUUGUUAGGGACCAAUGUCGGUGUGACGGCGGGGGAAGCUGUUGGGAGGAAGAGAGUUGAUACCUUUCCGGUGGUUGGCGAAGCGAGCCAAGUUCUUAGGAGCCGAUAUACGUUUGGUGGCGACGUGCCGGUAGUUGGAGAAGAUAGCUGAGUUCUUAGGGGCCGGCGUAGGGGCGAUGCUGAGGACGACUGCGGGAAGGAUAACCCUUCAUUUUUUUCUACCCACUGCACUCUCUCUCAAACCGGGCUUUUCUAGAAAAAAAAAAAAAAAAAAAAAAAUAUC
rnacentral:lncRNA from 1 species